rnacentral:rRNA from 1 species
GGAUCAUUACCGAGUACUAUAACUCAUAACCCUUUGUGAACCUUCAUACCUGUUGCUUCGGCGGCGCGCCUCUCGGGGCGUGCCCGCCGGCAUUAUCAGAAUCUCUGUUCGAACCCGACGAUACUUCUGAGUGUUCUAAGCGAACUGUUAAAACUUUCAACAACGGAUCUCUUGGCUCCAGCAUCGAUGAAGAACGCAGCGAAACGCGAUAUGUAAUGUGAAUUGCAGAAUUCAGUGAAUCAUCGAAUCUUUGAACGCACAUGGCGCCUUCCAGUAUCCUGGGAGGCAUGCCUGUCCGAGCGUCGUUUCAACCCUCGAGCCCCCGUGGCCCGGCGUUGGGGACCUGCCCAGGCAGUCCCCGAAAACCAGUGGCGGACCCGACGGGCCCUUCCUUUGCGUAGUAACAUCUGCCUCGCAUCGGGAGCCCCCGGGCUAUCCGGCUCUCUAAACCCCCCUCAAGCCCGCUCCGGCGGCACCAAGGUGACCUCGGAUCA